ACGUAGGCAGCAAGCGUUGUUCGGAGUUACUGGGCGUAAAGGGUGUGUAGGCGGUCGAUCAAGUUUGGUGUGAAAUCUCCCGGCUCAACUGGGAGGGUGCGCCGAAUACUGAUGGACUCGAGUGCGGGAGAGGAAAGUGGAAUUCCUGGUGUAGCGGUGAAAUGCGUAGAUAUCAGGAGGAACACCGGUGGUGUAAACGGCUUUCUGGACCGUAACUGACGCUGAGACACGAAAGCGUGGGUAGCAAACAG
rnacentral:rRNA from 1 species